rnacentral:rRNA from 1 species
CUUUCUUUGCUGGCGACCGGCGCACGGGUGAGUAACACGUAUCCAACCUGCCCUUUACUCGGGGAUAGCCUUUCGAAAGAAAGAUUAAUACCCGAUAGUAUAAUGAUUCCGCAUGGUUUCAUUAUUAAAGGAUUCCGGUAAAGGAUGGGGAUGCGUUCCAUUAGGUUGUUGGUGAGGUAACGGCCCACCAAGCCUUCGAUGGAUAGGGGUUCUGAGAGGAAGGUCCCCCACAUUGGAACUGAGACAUGGUCCAA